UACGGAGGGGGCAAGCGUUGUCCGGACUUACUGGGCGUAAAGGGUGCGCAGGCGGCCUGGUGCGUCGGCACUGAAAGCGCCCCGCUUAACGGGGCGAGGUGUGGCGAUACGACUAGGCUCGAGGCGUGGAGAGGGUGGGGGAACUCCUGGUGUAGUGGUGAAAUGCGUAGAGAUCAGGAAGAACACCCGUGGCGCAAGCGCCCACCUGGCCACGACCUGACGCUGAGGCACGAGAGCGUGGGGAGCGAACCGG
rnacentral:rRNA from 1 species